rnacentral:rRNA from 1 species
UACGUAGGGUGCGAGCGUUAUCCGGAAUUAUUGGGCGUAAAGAGCUCGUAGGCGGUUUGUCGCGUCUGCCGUGAAAGUCCGGGGCUCAACUCCGGAUCUGCGGUGGGUACGGGCAGACUAGAGUGAUGUAGGGGAGACUGGAAUUCCUGGUGUAGCGGUGAAAUGCGCAGAUAUCAGGAGGAACACCGGUGGCGAAGGCGGGUCUCUGGGCAGUAACUGACGCUGAGGAGCGAAAGCGUGGGGAGCGAACAGG